rnacentral:rRNA from 1 species
UACAGGGGGGGCAAGCGCUGUUCGGAAUUACUGGGCGUAAAGGGCUCGUAGGCGGCCAACUAAGUCACACGUGAAAUCCCCAGGCUUAACCUGGGAACUGCGUGUGAUACUGGAUGGCUUGAAUUCGGGAGAGGGAUGCAGAAUUCCAGGUGUAGCGGUGAAAUGCGUAGAUAUCUGGAGGAAUACCGGUGGCGAAGGCAGCUCUCUGGGACGGUACUGACGCUGAGACGCGAAAGCGUGGGGAGCGAACAGG